UACGUAGGGUGCAAGCGUUAAUCGGAAUUACUGGGCGUAAAGCGUGCGCAGGCGGUUUUGUAAGUCUGACGUGAAAUCCCCGGGCUCAACCUGGGAAUUGCGUUGGAGACUGCAAGGCUGGAGUCUGGCAGAGGGGGGUAGAAUUCCACGUGUAGCAGUGAAAUGCGUAGAGAUGUGGAGGAACACCGAUGGCGAAGGCAGCCCCCUGGGCCAAGACUGACGCUGAGACGCGAAAGCGUGGGGAGCAAACAGG
rnacentral:rRNA from 1 species